UACUGUACAACUGCAGUAGAACCUCCCUGCUCUUAUACUCAAAUGAGACACACAGAUUCUCCCCCAGACAAACAUUGUUGAAACAUUCCACAACAUUGUUGAAAGAAUCACAGAUCAGGUAGCCACGACAUGUCAGGAGAAUAAAAUGAAACCACUGGAGGACCUCAGCAGUUUUUGAAGAAAUCAAGAUUCCAGUAUCUUCGUUUUCUUGUAAUUUCAUGUCAGAAGAAUACCAACGCAACCACUUUAAGGAGAUCUGAUUAAGGGCAAAUGCUCAUGCGGUAGAAGACAAAGAGAUUCUUAGAAUAUCCCUGAGGAGUUUAAACACCGACACACAUCACUGGGAACAACAAGCAUUGGAUCGUUUUGUUAAGGCUACCCACAGAAUAAGUGGCGCUGAGUCAUAUGAGGAAGCUGGAAUGGAGGAAACAAAGAGGACAAGAGAAUCCUGAAAAUCAAGAAUCACUGAUGCCACUGCAGCCCCACAUCCCCGCCGCCUGGGUGGAAGGAACCUUCCAGCCCAGGUUGGACUAAUCAGCAACUUACAUACACAUUGCAACACUAGACUUAGGAACAAGUGAUGAACGGCAACAGUGACGGCAAACUCUGCCUAUUGCAGGGCAACUCAACCCAUUCCAGACCAGUCAAGUCCGGGUU